rnacentral:rRNA from 1 species
CGAGUGGGUUUAGACCCACGGCAGACGGCUGCGUAACACGUUGGUACCUACCCCGAACUCAGGGAUACCCCGCCGAAAGGCGGACUAAUACCGGAUGCCCUCGCAAGAGGAAAGAUUUAUCGGUUCGGGAGGGGCCUGCGGCCUAUCAGAUAGUUGGUGAGGUAACGGCUCACCAAGUCUAUGACGGGUAGCUGGUUUGAGAGAACGACCAGCCAGAAUGGAACUGCGACACGGUCCAUACUCCUACGGGAGGCAGCAGUGAGGAAUCUUCCGCAAUGGGCGAAAGCCUGACGGAGCGACACCGCGUGAAGGAUGAAGAGAUUUUUUCUCGUAAACUUCUGUUCUGAGGGACGAAAUUUUUGACGGUACCUCAGGAGAAAGCAUCGGCUAACCCUGUGCCAGCAGCCGCGGUAAGACAGGGGAUGCAAGCGUUACUCGGAAUUACUGGGCGUAAAGCGUCUGCAGGUUCCCUGCUAAGUCUGAUGUUAAAACACGAAGCUUAACUUCGUGUCCGUAUUGGAAACUAGCAGGGUCGAGCCACUCAGAGGCAUCUGGAAUGCCGUGUGUAGGGGUAAAAUCCGUUGAUCCACGGUGGAACGCCAAAAGCGAAGGCAGGAUGCUGGGGGUGUGCUGACACUCAGAGACGAAAGCGUGGGGAGCAAAGGGGAUUAGAUACCCCCGUAGUCCACGCCCUAAACUAUGCGGGCUCGGUGUUGGAGUCUCCAUUGACUCCAGUGCCCAAGCUAACGCGGUAAGCCCGCCGCCUGAGAAGUACGGCCGCAAGGCUAAAACUCAAAGGAA